GCGACGGUGCUGUCUCUUCUCCAGCUAUGAGGUUACCUGGUCGGUCUCACAUGUGGCUCUUGUCUUCGCUAGUUCUUCACCAAGCUUGUUCAGAUUGAUCAGUAAAUACAAGGACACAGUACUGACUUUCUUAACAACAAGCUAGUUGAGUUGUAGUUUGUGACUUUAUAGUUAAAACGUGAUAAUAUCUGCUAGUUGAAGCUAAAGUUAGCAUUGUCCUUACGGGCCUGAAGCAGCCACGUGGAGAACACUGAGAUGGACAAGAUGAGACACAAGGUGGGAUUCAGUCUUGCAGCUGUUUGCCCAAGUUUAACAGAUGUUACAUUGGAUAUAAGGGGUCUCCUGAUCUCCCUGCAAGACAUGCCAGAAUGGACUCAUUCAAGAUGAUGGAAAGUCACGACUGAGCUGAACAAGCUUGUGAGCUGCCAUAAGAGAUGUUGUGCUGCAAAUGCUCCCAGCCAAACCAGCUGACCAUCAAUUUCGCGCAGCUGAACGAGCUUGUGAGCUGCCAUAAGAGAUGUUGCAUUGCCAUGCAGUGCUGCAUAUGCUCCUAGCUGACAAUUCAUUUUGUGCAGCUGAACAAGCGUGUGAGCUGCCAUAAGAGAUGUUGCGAUGCAGUGUUGCAUAUGCUCCCAGCCAAACCAGCUGACCAUUCAUUUCCUGCAGGUUUGGCUGGUUAACUAAGAAGAUUCUUCUCGAAGAAAGUGAAUCAUCUUAUGGGGUGCAUCUGCAGCUACACCUUGAGAUGGAACUCGUGUCAUUCUGCCAGUCUGAUCCAGUCCCUGAAGUCUGCAGAGUGAAUGUUACAGUGGUUGCAGUGACUCUGCCUCAGUGUGCCUGCCAGCAUGUGGUGAGACAUCCAUCUGAUUCAGAUGACAAGAUUCGUGGACACGGAGCUGAAGAUGGGUGUUCGUUGAAAAUCAUUUUACACUGUUUAAAAAGCAAACUGAACUGUUUGAGAAUUAUAAUAAAGUGUCAAAACAGCUUGUUAACUGAAA